UAGGCCUUGCUUCGCCCCCGCCCGCGCGCGGCCGCCGUCUGCGUCACGGCGCCAGUGGGGUCCGGACGCUCGCGCUCCGGCCUCAGACCCUGCGAUGGUCUCACCUGGCCGGAGGGGCCAUGCGGGAGGUGCGGCUUCGGCUUCCGCGCGGCAUCCUGGCGACGGGGCUGCCCGGCCUUCAGACGUGCGAGUACCAGGGACGGGCGCAGCAGCUGCUGAGGGAGCCGGAAGGCGGGGGGCGGGGCCGGCCUCGGCGCGCAACCAAUCAGCACACAGGCAGAGGACUUCCGUUCCCGAACGUCUCCGGGGCCCUGAAGGUCACUGAAGGAGCAGGACGUCACGAGGACGCCCAGCCCCCGCCUCGAGUUCCGAUUGGCCCCGAGUGAGCCAGGGGCCUCUGACGUCACGGGAACGCUCCUGCGGCGACGUCCCAGGGGCGGGCCUCCGGCGGCCGGCGUCGCUCCCCGAGCGCGGUGCUGCGCUCCUGCCGGCGGAAGAGCGGCCGUGGACAGAGUCCGACCCGGCCCAGAGUUCACGUCGCUAGAAAACCGCCCGGGCGCGGUGGCGGAGGGAGCCCUUGCGGCCGGGAGUGCAGGAGCGGCCGGGGCAGCGUGGCGCGACCCCGUCUCCGGAGUCCCACCUGAGCCUCCCAGCUCCUGGAACCCCCGGGUUCAAGGCUGCAGUGAGCUGUGGCCCCGCCCCCGCACCCCAGCCUGCGAGACUCAGUGUUUCGUCACUACGGUUAGCCUAUGAGGAUCUUGAAAUUCAGAUGAAGAAAGACGAAAAGAUGAACAUGAGUGGCAAAACACACAUUGACUCAGACAGACUUGGCAUGGGGUUUGGAAACUGCAGAAGUGGUAUUUCACAUUCAGUGGCUUCAGAUAUGCAGACCAUAGAAUAAGAAUCACCCAUCGUGGCAAAACCAAGAAAAAAGUGUAAUGAUGACAGUGAUGAUUCAUAUUUCACUUCCAGCUCAAGGAUAAGAAAACUAAAGGAAAGAUGAGAUACCAAGAUUAGGCAAAACCAAGUAACUCACUCAAGGUCAUAAAAUCAAUAAAGGACAGAGCUAGGAUUUGAACCUGUGUCCGUCUGACUCUCAAGCCUAUGCUUAGCCACUGUAACACUGUUUUAGUUUGUCUUCAUGAACACUCUAAGUAUAUACAACAAGAACUAAGAGUACAGAUGAAGACAGAAAGACCUGGGUCCAUAUCCUGGCACUACCAUGUUCCAGCUGUGGGAUGGAAGACAAGCUCCUCAACCUCUGGGAGCCUCAAGUCCUUCACCUACAAAAUUGAGGUGCAUUAAGGUACCUAUGGGUAAGCGUAAAAGGGUAAAUAGGAAAACUAAAUGAGAUAAGGCAUUCAGAGGGCUCAGCAUAGUGCCUGGCACAUAAAUGUUCAGUAGAUGUUGGAUGAUAUCACUACCAUCAUCAGCAUCUUCCCUUUUUUAUAGAUAAAAUGGAGACAUAGAGAGAGAAAUUUGAUGCAACGUUACAAAACCAGUUAGUGUCAAAGACUUUUAAACACAAGUCUAGCCAGCUUCAAAGUAUCAACUCUUUUCCAUUUGCCAAAUGUCCCCUGAAAGCAUAGAAAGUACAUCCCGUGGGCCAGGCGUGGUGGCUCAUGCCUGUAAUCCAAGCACUUUGGC